CCUACGGGAGGCAGCAGUAGGGAAUCUUCCACAAUGGGCGAAAGCCUGAUGGAGCAACGCCGCGUGGGUGAAGAAGGUCUUCGGAUCGUAAAACCCUGUUGUUAGAGAAGAAAGUGCGUGAGAGUAACUGUUCACGUUUCGACGGUAUCUAACCAGAAAGCCACGGCUAACUACGUGCCAGCAGCCGCGGUAAUACGGAGGUGGCAAGCGUUAUCCGGAUUUAUUGGGCGUAAAGGGAACGCAGGCGGUCUUUUAAGUCUGAUGUGAAAGCCUUCGGCUUAACCGGAGUAGUGCAUUGGAAACUGGGAGACGUGAGUGCAGAAGAGGAGAGUGGAACUCCAUGGGUAGCGGUGAAAUGCGUAGAUAUAUGGAAGAACACCAGUGGCGAAGGCGGCUCUCUGGUCUGUAACUGACGCUGAGGUUCGAAAGCGUGGGUAGCAAACAGGAUUAGAUACCCUUGUAGUC
rnacentral:rRNA from 1 species